CAUUGGCAGCAACAGAAAAUACCACAUCCAAGGAGAAGACAGUAGAAUUCCAUUUCCAGAUACCGGUGGAGAUACAGACAGAGCCAAAGCAUGAGGACAGGAGAGAAAGGCCCAAUUCUACAGGAGGCCAAAGGAGUCAAUGGACAGAGCAUGCAGCCACGGCAGCUUAUUUGCCCCCACUGCCUGUGUAAGGAGCACCCCUGCUGGCAGCGAGGACAAAGGCACCAGCAACCAGGCAGCCCUUAAGUCCGCAGUGACGAAACCCAGAAGCGCAUUCCACCACAGAGCUACAAUGGUGCUUCUAUCAGAAUACCACACUAGUUUUGAGUCUUAACUUUAUUUGUGAAUUUCCUUGAGCAAAAUCUUAAAUUCUUAAUAAUGGAAUAAAAUAUUUUGUAAUCCCAGUAAAUAUUUGUAAUAUUUUGUAAUCCCAGUAAAGAUAUAACAAAAGACAACUUCUUUAAAAAACACAACCACUCUGUCCUUGGAAGUGUCUUGUCUAACUGAAAAAAUAUAAAACAAAACAGAUAUCUAGUGUUGGCAAGGUGGAACUGAAUUAACAACCUGGGUUUGUCCUUGAACUUACUUCAUAUUUUUCAUACCUAAUUAUUUUAUUGCAAUCUUUCAUCACAAAAUUUCUUGGUGGCAAUUUGUCAGAAAAAUACAGCUAACACAUUUCAGCCAUUCAUUAAACUGGAGAUUAAAAUCUUGCUGAAAUGAUAAGAGUUGCUAUUAUUCACUUUUGAUAUUAUGGAGCUAUACAGCAAACUUGCCUUGGAACUUGUUUAAUGGCUGAUUUUAUUAUUGUAUUAUAGUUCUUUUUUUAUCUUUUAUGGGCCACCUUGAGCAUGGUUUUCAUAGAAUGGGGCAUAAA